CCGGCUAACUCCGUGCCAGCAGCCGCGGUAAUACGGAGGAUGCAAGCGUUAUCCGGAAUCACUGGGUUUAAAGGGUGCGUAGGCGGAUUAAUAAGUCAGUGGUGAAAUCCUGUCGCUUAACGAUAGAACCUGCCAUUGAUACAUGAUAUGUCUUGAAUUCGGGUUGAGGUGGGCGGAAUGUANNCAUGUAGCGGUGAAAUGCGUAGAUAUGCUACAGAACACCGAUUGCGAAGGCAGCUCACUGGACUACAUCUGACGCUAAUGGACGAAAGCGUGGGUAGCGAACAGGAUUAGAUACCCUGGUAGUCCACGCCCUAAACGAUGUUUACUCGACAUAUGGACAAUUGGGUGUAUGUGUCUAAGCGAAAGCGUUAAGUAAACCACCUGGGGAGUACGUCGGCAACGAUGAAACUCAAAUG
rnacentral:rRNA from 1 species